GGGCGCACCCGGGGAGGCUCCGGGGAGGGGCUAACCCCGGAGAUGCGCCGGGCGAGGUGGGGGCAGGGUGCGCCCGAGGAGGGUGCGCGGGGGCGCCGGCCGCGCCGAGCCGAAGGGGGAGCUAUGCGUCCGCCUCCAGUGAGCCCCGCGCAGGAAAGAGACCGGACUUCCCCACGGAGGACGCUUCCGAGGAGCUGGAAGAGAAGGGCGGGGGAGGGGACGUCGGGUGGCCGGCCUGACUCAGUAUCAAGAGACUGAUGCAUUUGUUCUCAUAAUUACUUUUCAGAUUUUAAUAUCUUCGCUUAUCCUUAACAGAACAGAAAUGCUGCCUUGUUCCAAGUAAAACAAAGUUGGAGCUAAAAGCUAGCUAAGUUAAGGGGGGGAAUAAAAACUUGAGUCUUAACCAGCCGAGAGGCUGAAUGCACAAACCAUCAAUGGCCAAACCCUGUGCGGUAACAGAACUCUGACUGGAGAUGUCAGGUCUGGGUCCUUGACCGGCAGUUUUUUUUGGUUUUGUUUUGUUUUGUUUUGUUUUGUUUUGUUUUACCACCGUUUCCAACUCUGGACCAAUCGGAGAAAGCCAAAUAUGCUGUCCAAACCAAUCACAGAAGCUGCCUUUCCUCUGGUUAUGCCUCCUCCAACUUCCUGUUUCCAACACCCUCCAAUCGGAACACGCUUGAAGCUUUCCUUCUUUCUUUCCAUCUGUUUUUUAAAAACUAUUCUACUUCCGUUUUAAAAUCUACUAAACCUAAUGAUGGUUUCUCUUGCUAUGGCAAACUAUGACAAAUAGCCUAUUCUCAUUUGAUAGGCCUUGCUAAUUUACAUGUAGUAAAAAAUUCUGUACGGAAAUAUAAAAAAGCUAAUCGUGAGAUUAAAAAGAAGGUUCUCCUAAUUUUUAAAAACUGAGCAUGUCAUCUCAUCUAGACACAGUAACACACACUUAAAAUCUCAGCAACUUGGGAGGCCAAGGAAGAAGGACUGCAAAUUCAAGGCCAGCCUAAGUAAAUUAAUGAAACCCUUUUGAAAGUAAUUAAAAAAAAACAAAAACUGAAUGUAGCUCGGUGGUAGAGCAUUUGCCUACCAUGUGCAAGGCCUUGGGUUUGGGGCAGGGUGAGGGUGGAGAAGGAGUCAUUUCCCACCUAGAUUUUAAAAGACCUUCUUGUUCCAAGGGGAAAAAAAUCCUGUACCUUGUACUCAUCCUAGAAGGAAGAUGAUGAAAUGGGUUUCAAGUCAUAAUGGCUGAGGCCUUGUUUGCCUUCCCCAGAAGCAGGAAUGCAUGAGAGGCAGACUUAAAGAGUUCAAACAUGGGAGUUUCUUUCCCUAGACCAUUCAAGAUAACAGAGCCCAGCAAAGGAGAGGGGAUCACAGCCAAAGUCUAACUUUCAAAAGGAGCCGAAGAUUAUGUCCCCAAAAAAGGCAACUAAAGUAGAAUAUAAUAAAGCUGUCCUUUCUUAGAAAUCCAAUGACUAAAACUUGCAAAGAUUCCAGAUAAUGUGUAGUACUUUUAAAAUAGUCAAACUGGGUGUGGUAGUACACUCCUUGUAAUCCCAGAACUCAUUUUCAAGAUAGGUAGGAUUGUUGUGGGUCCAAGGCCAGUCCCAUUAGUGAGUUCAAGGCUAGCAUAAGGGCAUAAUGAAACUAUGUCUCAAAAAUGAAGCAACAACAAAAAAGUCAGAUAUCCUCAACAUUCACUUAUUUCAACAAUUAUCAGUUGGUUUAGAAUUAAGCUAUGAACCCUUAGGGACUGGGGAUUUAGCUCAGCAGCAUAAGCACCUGCCUUGUGAGCAGGCAGUCCUGAGUUCGAUCCCCAGUACCAAUAAAAAGACCAAAAAAAGAAUUAAGCUAUGAACUCUUGGAUCUUUUUUCUUGGGCUUAAUUUUAUGGUCAAUAAGUCUAUUCAAUACAUUUUUUCCUCCCUGGUUCAAACCGACAGGGUAAGAAUCAAAAUAUGAC
ensembl:lincRNA